AGACUUUAGAGCAACAGAUGCAC
rnacentral:piRNA from 1 species